rnacentral:sRNA from 1 species
CUCCCUACGCCGGCAUUACCCGGACAGGUUCGACGGUCGACGGCCCUAGCCGUCCUCUCAGCCCGCUGGUGCGAGCCCCCGUGG